rnacentral:rRNA from 1 species
UACGUAGGACGCAAGCGUUGUCCGGAAUCACUGGGUGUAAAGGGUGCGUAGGCGGGGAAGUUAGUCAGUGGUGAAAUCUCACGGCUCAACCGUGAAACUGCCGUUGAUACUGCUUUUCUUGAGUUUGGGAGAGGUCGAUGGAAUUCCAGGUGUAGCGGUGAAAUGCGUAGAUAUCAUUCGGAAUGCCGAAGGUGAAGACAGCCCGCUGGGCCUUUCCUGACGCUGAGGCACGAAAGCGUGGGUAGCAAACAGG